rnacentral:rRNA from 1 species
ACGGAAGGCAGCAGUGAGGAAUAUUGGUCAAUGGACGGAAGUCUGGACCAGCCAAGUCGCGUGAAGGAUGAAGGUAUUAUGUAUUGUAAACUUCUUUAGCAGUGGAGUAAUAAGGGGAUCGCGAUCCCUGAUGCAAGUACACUGAAAAUAAGGAUCGGCUAACUCCGUGCCAGCAGCCGCGGUAAUACGGAGGAUCCGAGCGUUAUCCGGAUUUAUUGGGUUUAAAGGGUGCGCAGGCGGCUUUUUAAGUCAGUGGUUAAAUCGUGACGCUCAACGUCAUCACGCCAUUGAUACUGGAGAGCUUGAUUGCGGUCGAGGUUUGCGGAAUUCGUUGUGUAGCGGUGAAAUGCAUAGAUAUGACGAAGAACACCGAUUGCGUAGGCAGCAGACCAGGCCGUAAAUGACGCUCAUGCACGAAAGUGCGGGGAUCGAACAGGAUUAGAUACCCUGGUA